rnacentral:misc_RNA from 1 species
AGGAAGGCAUGCAAAGUGAAAACCUAGCUUCACAUGAGGUUCCAUCAGAAGAGGAAAUUGUUGGGGAUGAAUCUUCCAUAAAAAAGGAUGAACACAAAGAGAAGUAUACUGGGUUACCAGAGGUUGAGGAGCGCAAUGAGGAGAUAUUCAAGGGAGAAGAAGAUUUAGAAAAAAUAUUGCAGGAGAAUGAACCCCAAGAAAAUAUUGAACAUUCAUUGAAUGUGAAAUCAGAAGAAACUGACAAAGGUGCUUUAAGUAAAAUGGAUAACAUUGUAGAAGAAAAACUUGAGAGCCCUCGAGACCUUGAAAGGGAGGCAAAAACGGC